GACGAACCGUGCGAACGUUAUUCGGAAUCACUGGGCUUAAAGGGCGCGUAGACGGGUCGGCGCAUCGGUCGCUGAAAUCCCCCGGCUCAACCGGGGAACGGGCGCCGAGAUGGCCGUCCUCGAGUGGAGGAGAGGGACCUGGAACUGCCGGUGGAGCGGUGAAAUGCGUUGAGAUCGGCAGGAACUCCGAUGGCGAAAGCAAGGUCCUGGACUCCCACUGACGUUGAGGCGCGAAAGCCAGGGGAGCAAACGGG
rnacentral:rRNA from 1 species